GGCGCCGUGGUCGGCGGCACGGGUGACGGCCGCCUUCACGGCGGGCGGGAUCUCGUUCGAGCCGACCGGGGUCA
rnacentral:tRNA from 1 species